AACGAACGCUGGCGGCGUGCUUAACACAUGCAAGUCGAGCGGUAAGGCCCUUUCGGGGGUACACGAGCGGCGAACGGGUGAGUAACACGUGGGUGACCUGCCCUCAGCUCUGGGAUAAGCCUGGGAAACCGGAUCUAAUACCGGAUAUGACUCCAUGACGCAUGUUGUGGGGUGGAAAGCCUUGUGCGGCUGAGGAUGGGCCCGCGGCCUAUCAGCUUGUUGGUGGGGUGANGGCCUACCAAGGCGACGACGGGUAGCCGGCCUGAGAGGGCGACCGGCCACACUGGGACUGAGACACGGCCCAGACUCCUACGGGAGGCAGGCGGGUGGGGAAUCUUGCGCAAUGGGCGAAAGCCUGACGCAGCGACGCCGCGUGAGGGAUGAC
rnacentral:rRNA from 1 species